UGUAUCCACCAAACCUUCUAUGUCCAC
rnacentral:piRNA from 1 species